GGGGGGAGAAAAGGCAGUGUGUAAUUUCUCAAUCUGUACAUCUGUUUUUAUAAUUCCAUGUGUAACAGGACAAGGUCCACGCCCCUUGCCUAACCCAGUAGUGCAAUUGCAAAUGGCUCUUUGCAUUCGGAGGCGAGCCAAUUAGCGUAGGGAAGUGGCUACAUAAAUUGUAACUUUUAAUUUGAAGGCCGACGUCAUAGCUGCAUACUGUUGGUUGUCCACCUGACUCCUGCCUUCACCGCGGGAUCCCUUGUGCUCUUUUGGCCUCCUGCUCACUGUGCAUGCAUCCAGUGACAUUCCUGGAUUGCUGUCGGCUGCUGAACAUGGGCCUCAUAGCCGACCUCAGCUGAUUGCAGAGCUUGCGGUAACACAAGGAGCGGCAACAUCAAGGCAUCUUGGUUCAAGUUCCGAACGCUGCUGUUUUGUUUUGUUUUGUCCGCGCCCAAGUUGUGUUAGUCCAUUUUAAACCUUCCACACGGGAGAACUGUACAACGGACGCUCUCGUCCAGUUUUAUUCUGUCUGAAAGUGGCCUUGAACGCCCUGCGUGUUAAGUGUCCAUAGAAGCUGUGGUUGCUAAAUUAAUGAACGUUUUUAUUGUAAGUUGUCUCCAGAGUGUGAGUGCAUAUACAGUACGAUGUAUGGUGUGUAUUAGAAUUAGUGGCUCAUUAGUUGAUCUCUCCCUCUCUUGCUGGACAGGAGCUGCAGGCCAAUUGGGUGGCGGGCUAUCUCGGUGGUGGUGUCCCUUCACUUUCCUGCUGUGGUAAAUCUUGAGUAUCUGGUAUUGACAUGUUCAUGUGUGGUGUGUGUCUCUAGACUCUACUCUGAUAUACUCUCCAGCCCUGGGUAAGCUUCAGCCCUGUUCCUGGCUCUUCCUACCCUCCAUCAGCGGUUAGCCCUCUAAUCUUUUGCAACACAGUCUGCUGUGUGUGUGUGUUUGUGCAUUUGUGAUUGUGUAUAUUGUACAUGUGUGUCCAGGCCUUGUAGGCCAUUUGUGUCAGUGCCUUAGUGACCAAGGUUCUGACUGUCUGGAGAGAACCCACUCCCUGUAGGUUAUGUUUUAAUAUUUGUUAAUAAAGACAGUUUAUU